AUACGGAGGGUGCAAGCGUUGUUCGGAAUUACUGGGCGUAAAGCGCGCGUAGGCGGUCUGUUAUGUCAGAUGUGAAAGUCCUCGGCUCAACCGGGGAAGUGCAUUUGAAACUGGCAGACUUGAGUACGGGAGGGGGUGGUGGAAUUCCCGGUGUAGAGGUGAAAUUCGUAGAUAUCGGGAGGAAUACCGGUGGCGAAGGCGACCACCUGGCCAGAUACUGACGCUGAGGUGCGAAAGCGUGGGGAGCAAACAGGAUUAGAAACCCUAGUAGUCC
rnacentral:rRNA from 1 species